rnacentral:lncRNA from 1 species
AUAAAAGUAAAUAUUUCCAUUAAGGUUUAGUAUUCAUUAUUUAAUUAGAGAAAAAAUAAUCAUUUAUAUGAAUAAAUGUAAUAUUUAAAAAAACAGAAAUAAAUGAAAAAAGUAGAAAAAAAAAAGUAAUUAUUCAUAUGAAGAAAUGUAAUGUUUUGAAACAUUACAUUUGUUCAGAUUGAUUACUAUUUUUCUUCAUAAUAAUGAUUAUUUUAUAUAUGCGCCCAGCCCAGCUCAUGCCCAAGCCCGUAAGCCCGCGCCCGAUCCGCGCCCCGACCCGA